rnacentral:rRNA from 2 species
CGUGAGGCAUGCUGGAGGUAUCAGAAGUGCGAAUGCUGACAUAAGUAACGAUAAAGCGGGUGAAAAGCCCGCUCGCCGGAAGACCAAGGGUUCCUGUCCAACGUUAAUCGGGGCAGGGUGAGUCGACCCCUAAGGCGAGGCCGAAAGGCGUAGUCGAUGGGAAACGGGUUAAUAUUCCCGUACUUGGUGUUACUGCGAAGGGGGGACGGAGAAGGCUAUGUUGGCCGGGCGACGGUUGUCCCGGUUUAAGUGUGUAGGUGUGUGUUCCAGGUAAAUCCGGUUCACUUUAACACUGAGGCGUGACGACGAGGCACUACGGUGCUGAAGCAACAAAUGCCCUGCUUCCAGGAAAAGCCUCUAAGCAUCAGGUAACAUCAAAUCGUACCCCAAACCGACACAGGUGGUCAGGUAGAGAAUACCAAGGCGCUUGAGAGAACUCGGGUGAAGGAACUAGGCAAAAUGGUGCCGUAACUUCGGGAGAAGGCACGCUGACACGUAGGUGAAGUGAUUUACUCAUGGAGCUGAAGUCAGUCGAAGAUACCAGCUGGCUGCAACUGUUUAUUAAAAACACAGCACUGUGCAAACACGAAAGUGGACGUAUACGGUGUGACGCCUGCCCGGUGCCGGAAGGUUAAUUGAUGGGGUCAGCGCAAGCGAAGCUCCUGAUCGAAGCCCCGGUAAACGGCGGCCGUAACUAUAACGGUCCUAAGGUAGCGAAAUUCCUUGUCGGGUAAGUUCCGACCUGCACGAAUGGCGUAAUGAUGGCCAGGCUGUCUCCACCCGAGACUCAGUGAAAUUGAACUCGCUGUGAAGAUGCAGUGUACCCGCGGCAAGACGGAAAGACCCCGUGAACCUUUACUAUAGCUUGACACUGAACAUUGAGCCUUGAUGUGUAGGAUAGGUGGGAGGCUUUGAAGUGUGGACGCCAGUCUGCAUGGAGCCGACCUUGAAAUACCACCCUUUAAUGUUUGAUGUUCUAACGUGGACCCGUUACCCGGGUUGCGGACAGUGUCUGGUGGGUAGUUUGACUGGGGCGGUCUCCUCCUAAAGAGUAACGGAGGAGCACGAAGGUUGGCUAAUCCUGGUCGGACAUCAGGAGGUUAGUGCAAUGGCAUAAGCCAGCUUGACUGCGAGCGUGACGGCGCGAGCAGGUGCGAAAGCAGGUCAUAGUGAUCCGGUGGUUCUGAAUGGAAGGGCCAUCGCUCAACGGAUAAAAGGUACUCCGGGGAUAACAGGCUGAUACCGCCCAAGAGUUCAUAUCGACGGCGGUGUUUGGCACCUCGAUGUCGGCUCAUCACAUCCUGGGGCUGAAGUAGGUCCCAAGGGUAUGGCUGUUCGCCAUUUAAAGUGGUACGCGAGCUGGGUUUAGAACGUCGUGAGACAGUUCGGUCCCUAUCUGCCGUGGGCGCUGGAGAACUGAGGGGGGCUGCUCCUAGUACGAGAGGACCGGAGUGGACGCAUCACUGGUGUUCGGGUUGUCAUGCCAAUGGCACUGCCCGGUAGCUAAAUGCGGAAGAGAUAAGUGCUGAAAGCAUCUAAGCACGAAACUUGCCCCGA